rnacentral:rRNA from 1 species
GACGAACGCUGGCGGCGUGCUUAACACAUGCAAGUCGAGCGAAGUGUUCAAGACAGAUUUCUUCGGAUUGAAGUCUUGAAUAUCUUAGUGGCGAACGGGUGAGUAACGCGUGAGAAACCUGCCUUUCACAAAGGGAUAGCCUCGGGAAACUGGGAUUAAUACCUUAUGAUACUUCAAAUUCGCAUGAAAUUGAAGUUAAAGCGUAAAAGCGGUGAAAGAUGGUCUCGCGUCCCAUUAGUUAGUUGGUGAGGUAACGGCUCACCAAGACCGCGAUGGGUAGCCGGCCUGAGAGGGUGAACGGCCACACUGGAACUGAGACACGGUCCAGACUCCUACGGGAGGCAGCAGUGGGGAAUAUUGCACAAUGGAGGAAACUCUGAUGCAGCGACGCCGCGUGAGUGAAGAAGGCCUUCGGUCGUAAAACUUUAGUCCUAGGGACGAUAAUGACGGUACCUAGAGGAAGCCCGGCUAACUACGUGCCAGCAGCCGCGGUAACUAUCACGUGUA